rnacentral:lncRNA from 1 species
AAGACAGGCGUGAGCUCCUGCAAUGGGGCCCAGAAUGGCGGGGGAGCGUUUCCCGUGGGACAAGACAGGCGUGAGCUCCUGCAAAGGGGCCCAGAAUCGUGGGGAAGCGUUUCCUGUGGGACAAGACAGGCGUGAGCUCCUGCAAAGGGGCCCAGAAUGGUGGGGAAGCAGAACUUCUGCCUCCAACUCACUUUCUCACCGUGCAACUGCGGAUCCAGAGGAAUCUCUGCAUGUGAGGCUCUGCCAGGUUGGGGAGGAGUGUGCGCUCAACAUCUCUCUCCACUUUUUACCAUUGCAACAGCUUUUCUUAGCUCUGGGGUCCAGGAGUGUGUCUCAGCCUUAGUCCUGAAUUCUGGGACAUGCACGAUGGUAUUCUUGCCUGUGGAGAGCUGCUAGUUGAAUUUCUGUGGUGGUGAGUGAUGUCAGUGAAGUCCCAUUCUGGUUUCUCUCUGAUGUCACACUGAGAGCACAGUUUUGGUGAGAAGAUUAUCUUUGUGUAAAAGCAAAGAAGAGAGGAAAGAACCUGCGUUUCUCCUCUGCACUAUCCGCUGCGUUUUUCUGUAGAAUUGGGUGUGCCAUUUGCAAGAGCUGUGUGUGUGCAGCAGAGCAGGCAGCCAACCAAUCCUUGCGGUUCAGUGUGAGUUGGGAGGGAGAAAGCGCAAACCACUAAGUGUAGACAACACGCAGGGAGUUCAUUUGGGAAGUUUAGCGAGUGGUGUCCAAAGCAGAGUUGCUCCCUCAGCACUAUGGGCAGUUUGGGCCACACAAUUCUUUGUUGUUGGGGAGAGAAGGCUGUCCUGUGCCUUGUAGGAGGUUUGGCAGCAUCCCUGGCCUGGACACCCCAUGACAGUGGCAACCCCUCCCCUAGCGGUGACAAACAUAAAGGUCUCUAGAUGUUGCUAAAUGUCCUCUGGUGGGGGUGGGAAGGGCAUUGCCCUGUGUGAGGACCGCUGGUAGAGACUGUUGCAGGGUUCAGAAAAGAGAUUUUUGUUUUUCAGUUGGGACAUACAUGAUCAGUCUUGGGGAAGGAAGCAGAAGCAAUGGUGGAAUAGGACAAAGAUAAAGGAAAGAGGUGGAAAGUGAUGAACACAGACCGCGAUGACCCGGUGUGGGGUGAUAUGGGCGAGGACAGCAUCCAGCGAAGAGGUCCUGGCUCCUGACUGCAAUUUGGUGGCUCUACUGUACCCUGUGCAACGGGUAUAGAGUCCAAGCCUGGAGGGAGAGCGACUGACAGCCAUGGUCUGGUCACACGCCUGCCUGAGAGCUGCACGGGAGCCGGCGAGGAAAAGCCCUUGCUGCUUCCAGUGUAAGGUCUGCCUGGAUGAUCAAAACAGAUGGGAAGGAGCCAUGGUGGGGCAAUGAUCCUGUUCUGUUGCCUCCUGGAGAUUCAAGCAUUAUAUAUGGAGAGCUAUCAUCUCUACCCCUCCUCCCGGUUUACUCUCAUGGUUAUUGGGGAACAAGUGGUACUCAAGAUGGAUGAAGGACUUAAAUCCAAGACAAGAAACUAUAAAAAUUCUAAAAGACAACAUUGGAAAAACUCUUCUAGACAUUGGCUUAGGCAAGGAUUUCACGAACAAGAACCCAUAAGCAAACGCAAUAAGAACAAAAAUAAAUAGCUGGGACCUAAUCAAACUAAAGAGCUUUUGCACAGCAAAAGGAACAGUCAGCAGAGUAAACAGACAACACACAGAGUGGGAGAAAAUCUUCACAAUCUAUACAUCUGACAAAGGACUGAUAUCCAGAAUCUACAAUGGACUCAAACAAAUUAGCAAGAAACAAAUAAUCCCAUCAAAAAGUGGGCUAAGGACAUGAAUAGACUUUUAGGUUACUUUUAGGUAUUUGUGUGUGCAGACCUCUUGGUGUCAAGGCUAAACUGUUCCUUUCUCUGACACAUGGGAAAUUGAUGCACAAUACCUUGCAGUGUAUAAUUCCAGGCCCCUAGGCACUGGAGACUGGGUUAUCUUUUCACUCAACUGACAGUUGAUACAUUGUUUGCACUGAAAAAUCUGGCUUUGUUGAACCACACCAGUUUAUGUUUUUAAUUCCAAAUCUUACCUUGUUAUGAACUAUUUUUUUGUCCUUUCCUCUAGAGAAAUGCUAAUGCUGCUUGCUUACAUGGAAAGUAAAGUUAAGGAGUUGGUGUUGACAUUUUGGCUUGCUGUCACAGGCAAAAAAGAAUAGUGCUGUUUUUGUGUGUUUAAUUUUCUUUCACUUUCCCCACUCUGUGUAUUGGAGGAUGCCUUUAGCAAUAAGUAGUCCUUAUCCAGGUCACUCACUCAUUAACCGCCAACCACUGACAGUAAUGUCUUUACUAGAUAUUUUGCUUCUUUUGAUUAAUUUGUCUCUAUUUCCUUUGUUCUAAAGCCUAUAGUGAGUAAUCAUAUUUGGAGUAAUAGCAGAGCUCCCUGCUGUGUUUUCAUUUGCUUAAAUCAAGACUUAGCUGCUGUAUUGAGGAACCAAGACUGAGAUGUGGGGCUAGGAGGGCCUAGGGUCUGUCAGGCACUCUUCAGUGACUUGAGGUGCUGAAUGACUCACACUGUACUGGGAGAUGACCACCUGUGUGCAUCCAACACAGUCACAGAUAGUGCCAUUGAGCCACCAGGAGCAGCCACAGACCAUCAGUGGUUGUGCUUUGGAAUACGCAAUUUUGUGUUUCUGGUGAGCUGUAAUCUUUUCUUUUCCCAUAGAAUUAUUUUUCAUUGAAUUAUGCUAUUAAAACUCAUCUUUGGGUUUCUUGUAACGUCAUUGCCGAGAACGUUAUUUUUGCAUUUCACAGUGAUUUCUUGAGGAGGAAGUAAGAAGUAAUUGUUUUCUGGACUCACUGUCUGAAAAACUUGCACUUUACUGAAGCGAUUGUUUUGUUUACACUAAGUAACAAUAUGAGUUUUGUUAGCUUUUUGGAUGGACUACAAAGCAUAAAACCAACUUUGUUCCUCAUCUCUGGCAAAGAUGGAGGGUUGUUGGCUUGUGUUGUGUGAUGAGUCUUAUACCUGGCUCUGUCUGCUCUUGCCUUUUGCCUUACAUUUCAAAGACCUCACUUUUUUCUUUUCUUUUUUUAAAAAAUAUUUUAUCACAUGAUUUUCUAUACAUUUUAAUAAAAUUUCUUUUUUGUAAAAAAAGCAAAGCAUAAAUAAAAUAGGGUAGCCAUUUCUUCUAAGGUUAUGUUGAAUCUAACCCAAACUCUUAUCAGAGAAAACUCUGCUUUAGAUGUAGCCUAAAGCAGGAAGCAACAAACCUGUAUACAGCCAAAGUAUCAUCUCAAGGGCCUGCAUUCAAAUCUCACACAUGUGGCUUGAAAGUGAUCUCUUUUGCCCUUAUUUCAAGGCCUAAUCUUAGGUUACAUAGUACUUAAAGAAGCUUCAGUAUGCAAUUUCAAAGCCUGUAGUAGAUGUAAAAUGAGAAAAUUAGAAAUAAGGAGAAAAGCUGCUACAUGAGGACACUGACAGCAAGGAAAGGGAGAGAAAAACUCACAAAGUAAGUGGAAAAAUAGACCAAUGCAAAUAACCCCACAUAGUUUAACAGACCUCAUCAUAUCUAUUGUGUACAUGUUUGUAUGACAUAGAUUAUAUCUAUUAUAUGUAAUCCAGUGUUCAUAGUGUUGACUUAGAAAUUAUCAACCAAAUUCAAAGCUUUUAGGCUUUGAAAAUUGUUUGAAAAGAUUUUCACCCAAAAUAUUUAAAUUAUUAAAAAAAAUUAUUGUUGAUUAAAGUUGUAAUCCUCAAUUAAUUAGAAGUUUUGGCUAUCCAGAGACCUUAUAUUCCAAAGACUUUAGAGAGUUGUUUGUUAGAUCACAUAAAUUAUUACCAAUAUCCUACAUUUAAGCUUCUAAUUUACGUAAAUUGUGAGCAAAAUUGAGAGCCACACAAAUAUUCAAUCUCUGAAGCUCUUAUGGCAGCAUUGAUCAAAUAGGUUAGAGAACACAUGGAUACAGCUUUAUUGCCUUCUAGUUUUACUGCAAACGUGUUAUUUAAUAGUAUGCAAAUGAUUGGCUAGAUGUACAGACUGCCAGGGCCUUCAUAGCAAACAGGUUUUGUGUUUACCCUAGCAUACAAAAAUGCUUCAUCUACGAUGUAUGCUGUAACUGUGUGUAUUGUCUACCCUAGCAUGCAAAAAUGCUUCAUCUAAAAUGUAUGCUAUAACUAUGUGUAUUAUAUUAUCUAUAAUUAUAUUUCUCCUUGGUUUAAUAUUAGAUAUUUUCAGGUACAAGAAAUGUAUGCACAUUAUAGAUUCAAUGCAUGUAGGUUAUAUGUGUAAAUAUUUAUUGAUAAGAGGCAUUAAACCCCUGCCUUCUAUGCUGGAUAAACUCCUGAACUUAGCCUCCAAAACACCACAGUAGCCUCCCUGGUAAGCACAGGGCUCUUUCUCUACCCUUUUGUGUCUCCCACGCUCCCACUUGUCUACAAGAGCUGAGUGUAGACCAAGAGCAAUAAAGUUCAUUUCCCCAAAAUAAGGCGUAGCAUUCAGGUUUUGUGAUACCUGAUUGGUUUACAUUGUUUACAGGUGGGGCCUCGAAGGGGUAAAAAUCAGAAGCUUCUUAUUCUGAGCGCAAGGGCAAGAUCAUUGAGCAGACAUUGACCUCCCUUCAGACAUUUCUUGGGAGGAACAGAAUGAGAAUUUCAGGGGCCAGUGCCUGCACCCUACUAGCUGUGGCAGCCUGGUGCUCAUCUACUUCUCCAGCUUGGGAAGGCCUAGGUUAACCCCAGUCUUUGGAGGCAUUGUUAUUCCUCUUCUCUCCCUGCUUCCCCGUGUUUGUGUUCUGGGCCCGGUGUAACACUGAGGUUCAGAAUUGCUUUCAAGAGAGGAGCCCAUUUCUGUGUCUAUGCAAGGCUGGACAAUUUCUCCAAGUGGUUCAGCCUGUGGGGGUUAACGGGGCAAAAGCAUCUCAGCUAGUAAUAAACACUGCUUCGCCUCUUGCUUUUUUAUUUUUAUUUUUGCAAAACUUCUCUGUAGGUGUGUAUUUCUCUAGAGGAUUUCAAAAAUUCUCUGUAGGUGCGUAUUUCUGUAGAGGAAGGAGUGGUGACUGGGCCAGGGUGAAUGGAUUAUUUGAUCUAUAUUAUCUUGAAUUUUAUAUCUUUUAUUUUAAAAUUUGGGUGUUUUUUGAAGUAGGAAAUCAAUGCACAUGGCUGAAUAUCUAAAAAGUGUAAAAGUAUACAUUGAAAAGUCUUCCUCCUAAUCUCGUGAUUGUCUUCGUUUCAGUCCCCAUGGCCACAUCAUGAGGCUACUGAUGUCAUUAGUUUCUUUUGCGUUCUUCUAGGGUUUCUGUUGGCAUAUGCAAGCAACAAUAAAUGUAUACCUUUAUGUUUUCUCUUUUUACAGCAAGGACAGUUUAUUAAACACACUGUUUUAAACCUUAUUUUUUCUCUAAAUAAUAUUUCAUAUAAGUCAGUAUGUAGACUUUAUGUAUUUUUAAAAUGAAGACAUAGCGUUCCACUGAACUUAGACAAUAAUUUACUUAACUAGUCCAAGAUUGAAGAAUAAAAUUAUUUUGAAUCUUUUGUUAAUAGUUAAUAGCUUUGAUGAGUACACUUAUGCAUACAUUAUUUUACACAUGUUCAAGUAUGUUGUAUAAACCCCAAAGUGGGAAUGCUCUGUCAAAUAUUACAGGUAUUUGCAACUUUGAUAGAUACUAAUUGCCCUCGAUAGAGGUAGUAAAAGCUUACACUCCACAGCCUUACUGAUGAUAUAUAUUAUAAAACUUUUAGUUCUUGCCAAUCUAAACGUGAAAAAUGGUAUUUCAUGGUAAUUUAAAUGCUUUUCUCGUUUUAUAACUGAGGUUGACAUCUAUCAAAAAAUUAUUUGAAUUUUUCUGAGAACUAUUAAUCUUUGAAUCCUUUUCUGUUGUUUAUCUUUUCCUUCUUCAUUUCUAAAAGUUCCUAUACAGAGAGAUUCACCCGUUAUCUGUGAUAUGAUUACAAAUGUCUGCCCUCCAAUUUGUUAUAUGUCUUUAGAUCCAAAUACCUUAUUUUUUGCCAUGUAGAAAUUUUUAAUUUGUAUGUGAUAAAAUGUUAAUACUUUAUGGAUUCUGGAUUUUCAGAAAUAAAAAGGUCAUCCUCACUUCCAGGUUUUAAAGAAAUUCUUUAAUGUUAUUUUAUGUUUUUGUAUGG